rnacentral:rRNA from 1 species
GGGGAAUAUUGCGCAAUGGGGGAAACCCUGACGCAGCAACGCCGCGUGAGUGAGGAAGGACUUAGGUCUGUAAAGCUCUGUUAAUGUGGAAAAAUGAUAGUUGGUCUAAUAGGCUGAUUAUUUGAUGGUAUACAUAGAGGAAGCACCGGCUAACUUCGUGCCAGCAGCCGCGGCAAUACGAAGGGUGCAAGCGUUGUUCGGAUUUAUUGGGCGUAAAGCGCGCGUAGGCGGACCUGUAAGUCAGAUGUGAAAUCUCGGGGCUCAACCUCGAAACUGCGUCUGAAACUGCAGGUCUAGAAUCUUGGAGGGGGAAGGGGAAUUUCGCAUGUAGGGGUAAAAUCCGUAGAUAUGCGAAGGAACACCAGAGGCGAAGGCGCCUUCCUGGACAAGUAUUGACGCUGAGGCGCGAAAGCGUGGGGAUCAAAC